UAAGGAAUAUUGGUCAAUGGACGAAAGUCUGAACCAGCCAUGCCGCGUGAAGGAUGAAGGUCCUCUGGAUUGUAAACUUCUUUUAUCUGGGACGAAAAAAGGGCAUUCCUGCCCACUUGACGGUACCAGAGGAAUAAGCACCGGCUAACUCCGUGCCAGCAGCCGCGGUAAUACGGAGGGUGCAAGCGUUAUCCGGAUUCACUGGGUUUAAAGGGUGCGUAGGUGGACAGGUAAGUCAGUGGUGAAAUCUCCGAGCUUAACUCGGAAACUGCCAUUGAUACUAUCUGUCUUGAAUAUCCUGGAGGUGAGCGGAAUAUGUCAUGUAGCGGUGAAAUGCUUAGAUAUGACAUAGAACACCGAUUGCGAAGGCAGCUCACUACGGGAUGAUUGACACUGAGGC
rnacentral:rRNA from 1 species